rnacentral:rRNA from 1 species
GGCAUAAGUAACGAUAAUGCGGGCGAGAAACCCGCACACCGUAAGACCCAGGUUUCCUGAUCAACGCUAAUCGGAUCAGGGUUAGUCGGGACCUAACGCGAACCCGAGAGGGGUAGUGGAUGGACAAUGGGUUAAUAUUCCCAUACUAUUUAUACAGGUGAUGGAGUGACGGAGUGAUGAAAGAUCCGCCCGGUGACGGAAUACCGGGUUAAAGGUAGUAGGUAUUGGCUGCAUAGUUAAAUGCGUGCGGCUAGCCGAAGCUGAUAGUACUGAGCGUUUACGGACAAUCAGAUAGUGAUCCUAAGGGCUUCCAAGAAAAACUUCUAGCGUUAAGCGUAUAGAUACCCGUACCGCAAACCGACACAGGUGGUCGAGGAGAGUAUCCUAAGGUGCUCGAGUGAAUCAUGGCUAAGGAACUCGGCAAAAUAGCCCUGUAACUUCGGGAGAAGGGGCGCCUCUGGUGACAGAGGCCGCAGUGAAGAGGCCCAGGCGACUGUUUAACAAAAACACAUGGCUUUGCGAAGUUUAACGACUAAGUAUAAGGCCUGACACCUGCCCGGUGCUGGAAGGUUAAGAGGGGGAGUUAUCGCAAGAGAAGCUCUGAAUCGAAGCCCCAGUAAACGGCGGCCGUAACAAUAACGGUCCUAAGGUAGCGAAAUUCCUUGUCGGGUA